rnacentral:rRNA from 1 species
GUCGAGCGAACAGACGAGGAGCUUGCUCCUCUGACGUUAGCGGCGGACGGGUGAGUAACACGUGGAUAACCUACCUAUAAGACUGGGAUAACUUCGGGAAACCGGAGCUAAUACCGGAUAAUAUAUUGAACCGCAUGGUUCAAUAGUGAAAGACGGUUUUGCUGUCACUUAUAGAUGGAUCCGCGCCGCAUUAGCUAGUUGGUAAGGUAACGGCUUACCAAGGCAACGAUGCGUAGCCGACCUGAGAGGGUGAUCGGCCACACUGGAACUGAGACACGGUCCAGACUCCUACGGGAGGCAGCAGUAGGGAAUCUUCCGCAAUGGGCGAAAGCCUGACGGAGCAACGUCGCGUGAGUGAUGAAGGUCUUCGGAUCGUAAAACUCUGUUAUUAGGGAAGAACAAAUGUGUAAGUAACUAUGCACGUCUUGACGGUACCUAAUCAGAAAGCCACGGUUAACUACGUGCCAGCAGCCGCGGUAAUACGUAGGUGGCAAGCGUUAUCCGGAAUUAUUGGGCGUAAAGCGCGCGUAGGCGGUUUUUUAAGUCUGAUGUGAAAGCCCACGGCUCAACCGUGGAGGGUCAUUGGAAACUGGAAAACUUGAGUGCAGAAGAGGAAAGUGGAAUUCCAUGUGUAGCGGUGAAAUGCGCAGAGAUAUGGAGGAACACCAGUGGCGAAGGCGACUUUCUGGUCUGUAACUGACGCUGAUGUGCGAA